rnacentral:rRNA from 1 species
GGUGUAGGCGGAUUGGAAAGUCGGAUGUGAAAGUCCAGGGCUCAACCCUGGAAGUGCAUCCGAUACUACCAAUCUUGAGUACUGGAGAGGAUAGUGGAAUUCCUGGUGUAGCGGUGAAAUGCGUAGAUAUCAGGAGGAACAUCGGUGGCGAAGGCGGCUAUCUGGCCAUGUACUGACGCUCAGACCCGAAAGCGUGGGUAGCAAACA